CCUGAUCACUUGAUUCCAGAUAUAGCCGGCGCCGAGAGAGCAACGCUCGACCAUGGACCUUUCCUCCGGCAAUCAAAUUCUUACAACCCAGAGAGUCAUACUCAAUCAGGACAAAUCCCAAAAAUAUUUUUUUGCUACCUGUUUUUUUUUAAUACCGGUGCACACGAGGUCUUGAUGCAGCCCAUCAAAUAGCAUGUUUUACUGUCGUUUCAUCCCGAGUCAAUAUAAAUCAUAAUAUCGACAAUUUAGAAAAUGAUAUAUAAAUAGCAAGCAAUUUAACUACUGUUCAAUAACUUAUUAAAUAAUAUUGAACAACACAUAUUUUGCAGAUGUAAACUUAAUUAACUAAAUAAACAGUAAAUAGAUAAUUAAUUCCAUAAAAUGAUUAUUUGGAUGAAUAAUAAAUAACUAAUAUAAAAUUUAUAAAUCAAUCAAUUGGAUAAAUAAUAAAUAAAUAAUUUAAAUCUAUAAAUCAAUUAAUUAAAUAUAGAAUAAGAAUUAAUAAAAAAUUUCCAGCAAGGAGCAGAUUGUGGAGCGUCGCAGAACUAUGAAAUAAAGUCAUAUAUCCUCUAUACACGUAUCAUGCAAAGUUUUCUAUAUAGCAAUUUCGACUAAUAAUUAUUACGUAUAUUAUUAUCAUCGUGUAUAUAUAUAUAUAUAUAUAUAUAUAUAUAUAUAUAUAUAUAUAUAUAUAUAUAUAUAUAUAUACAACAAAAUAAUUCUAUUAGAUCUAAUGUACUUUUUCGAUCUAAUAAGUACCUUGUGUCAGAAUUGAGAAAUUCUAUGGCUCGAAUCUUUAGUAUUCUCUUAUUUAUUACCUGCGUCUACUCUUUAGGCAGAAUACCGUCACCCAUUUUUACUAAGAAACUGAAAGAAACGGAAGAAACGGAAGAAAGGGAGGAAAGUGAGGAAGAAACAGAUGUAGAAAUAGAAACAACUUUCGAAACAAAGGGGACUAAACAGGGAUCUACGUCUUGGGUAGAGCUGGCUGGACGGACGGGUUAUCUAUUCACGAAAAUAACUUAAUUAAUAAGAUAUUCAUAAUUUUUUAUAGGCCGAAACUCAUAGAUUAGACUGUCUAAGAGAUUUUGACUCAAAAUUCUAAUGAAAAUUUGAUAGAACUUUCCCUAAAAUAUGGACGUUUACCUCCCGUACAACGGGUCCAAAAUCUGCGAGAAACACUUCAAAUAUUCCAUAAUUAUUUAACGGGAGUUGGGCCACCCAAACUGCAUUAUUUUAUGACUCUGUAAUACAACUCAAAUCAUAAUACAAAAUCAACAGUUCGGCAAAAAUAAUAAUAUUAUUCCCGAUACAAUCACAUAAUUAUUUCCUCACAUUUAAUUUAAUUAAUCACAACCUCAAUUUACAUAACAUAAUAUUAACUCCUUUUAUAAUUAAUCUACAGUAAUUCUAGAAUCAUGCUACUAAUGAAUUAAAUAUUUUAAUUAAUUAAUUAUAACUAAUAAUUAAUAAACCAAAUAUUUUCUAAUAAUUCUAAAUUAAUUUUCAAAGUCUAAAUAAAAUUAUACCGAGCAGAAAUCCGAACUUCUGUGCGUCCAAAAAACACCAGAGUCUGAAAGCCGGUACCUCCAACGGUGUCAGAUUUCGAAUCGAGAGACGCCUACGCAAGCCCGAGUUAUGGGGAGUCUAAAUAUGCAAAUUUCUUCGCCUGAAACUCGCCGGAAGUCACUGGAUCGAGGCUGAAAAAUUUCACUCCAGUGAGGCUCACCCACUACUGUUGGCGAAGGAAAAGCAAUAGGGAAGCAAUAGGGAAGGGUUGCCUUGGGUUUUUUAGGGUCCAAGAAUCUGUUUCCAGCAUCAGAUUGGUGAAGAGACGUCGACAAGAGGCUAUUUCGGCAGGAACAAUGGAUGAGUCGACUUUUCCUCCUUGCUGCGGUGGGGAACGACAAAAAGGAGGGAGAGAGUGACGUCACCAACGAGAAAUGGAAGAGGGGAGGAAAGUUAGGUGGCUGGCAACGAUGUGGUAUGGUCGGAAAUGGGAGGGAGUGAGGAAAACGGAAGAAGAGGGUGGCAGGGAGAGAAAAGAAGGAGGAGAGAACAAUUUUUGUGUUAUGUUAUUAUUUUAUUAUUUUUUUAAAAUAAAAGAUGAAAAAAAUGCAAAUGAGGCCUUCUUCAAAAAGUUGCUACAAUG
rnacentral:lncRNA from 1 species